rnacentral:rRNA from 1 species
CCUACGGGAGGCUGCAGUGAGGAAUAUUGGUCAAUGGCCGGAAGUCUGAACCAGCCAAGCCGCGUGAGGGAGGAAGGCGCAGAGCGUCGCAGACCUCUUUUGCCGGGGGACAAAAGGCCGGACUCGUCCGGUCCUGAGGGUACCCUGAGAAAAAGCAUCGGCUAACUCCGUGCCAGCAGCCGCGGUAAUCCGGAGGAUGCGAGCGUUAUCCGGAUUCAUUGGGGUUAAGGGGUGCGCAGGCGGGCCUUUAAGCCGGCGGUGAAAUCGCGGGGCUCAACCCCGCCGAGCCGUAGGAACUGGGGGCCUGGAGUGCGGGGGAGGCAGGCGGAAUGCGUGGUGUAGCGGUGAAAUGCAUAGAUAUCGCGCAGAACCCCGAUUGCGAAGGCAGCGGGCCGUGCCGCGACUGACGCUGAGGCACGAAAGCGCGGGGAUCGAACAGGAUUAGAUACCCUAGUAGUC